AAUCGGUGACGUCACUCGUUCUGCGACCUUAAGUAGUUGUUCCCCUUGCACUGCAAGGGCCGUGGCUUUUGUGGCGCGAUGGGUAACGAUGCUUUGUGGGUGUCAGUUGUUGAUGUGCGCAGAGGGGCCCUGGUUCGAGCCCAGGUUGAGGCAAGGAGAGGGACGGAAGCUAUACUGUUACACACCAGGACCACAUCCGCCUGCGCUAUGACAAAGAAAAGACCAUGGUUGCAGACGGAACUGGUAGUACACAAGUUCCUGCAGAGGGUGAUGGAUUUUCUCUCACAAACACCCAACCCACUCCUGUGCCCCCAGACCCAGCUCCACUGGGAGACACCAUACCUGUGUCUCGUAGCACACCAGGAGUACUGCCCAGGUCACAGCGUAGUCACAAGCCUCCUGAAAGACCAACUCUGUAGUUGAGACCGAGAGCCUUGUGGUGUUAGUGUUUGUUUGGAACAGCAGACUUAGUUGAAAAGAAAUAAGGGCUCUCAUUUUUUUGUUUGUUUACAUUUACAGUAACAUUAGCAGAAGUUGUACAGAGUUGAAAACACUGAUGUUGUCACAUGGAUGACGCUGGAGAGACGAAGCAGGUACGGGGAGUAAAACAUUUCAUUAUAACGGACAUGGCACGAGACAGGAACAGCGUCAGCAAAAGUAAUACAGACAAAAAACAAUUAAUGCAGCAGCAGGGAACAGAGCAAGGGAACAGACAAAUAUAGGGGAGGAAAAGGACAUGUGAUAAGUGAGUCCAGGUGAGUCCAAUAACGCUGAUGCGAGUGACGAGGGAAGGCAGGUGUGCGUGAUGCAGGGUAAUCUGGCGCCCUGAAGCGCCAGGGGAAGGGAAGAGCGGGAGCAGACAUGACAGUUGUGGUUUACUUGUUAAUCUUAUGUUUCUACCUCAUAGGGGGGAAUGAAAUUAUUAUAGUGUUAUAGUGUGGACACUAUAUAAAUAAUUACAUUGAAUAUGUUAUUGUACUUACCUGCAGUAUAGUUUGAUUACUAUUCAUGUGUUCAUGGUUAUUAUUGGCAUUGUCCUUGACUGUGACUUUUCCCCUUUGAUGAUGUCAUCACCCAGAGUUGUGCCUGUUCAAUGCGACUCAGGAUGAAUGGGCUGCAUCACUUUGCUGUGUUUGUACCAUUUGUACAUGGCUGUACACCUUUUAUUUAUUAGGUUGAAAAUAAAGGAAUGUAAUAUUGAAUUGCGUGUGGGCAUUCCUUGUCAAGUUACUACAUUUUGUAUCGCAUUCAAAUGAUAACACUGGGGGGACACAGAAAUGCAUCCCCAGUGAAAGUUGCGCCCCUGUGUUUAGCUAUUUCCUUGCAGAUGUGAAGGAGAUGCAUCAGGUUUACAUCAUCUCUGAACCAGGCCAUCUUUCUGUAUGACAACUCAAUCAAUUAAUCAACAAAUAACUUUUCAUGCUUAUCUGAAAAUCAUUUCUGGUCACAGAUUACAUUUCUUGCAGUUAAUUGAGCGGCUACUGUUGGGAAAAGGUGACGCAUUUGAGCCAAAACAAUUUGCUGUGUAAAUUGACCUAAAUCCACUAGUGGAAUAGAGUUCAUUGGCCAUCAACUAUAAUUGUUUUAGGGUCUCUGCCAGGACUUUGUUAGGUCUAUAAGCUGCGCUUUGUUCACUGACAGCAGAGCUGACAUAGCAUUAUUUUUGUAUCUGUGCCCCAUCACAUUUUGCCCUGCCCUCACUGUAGCUGCUUACUGUCUGCCUCAACAACAACAACACAGAUACCAACACCAAGCCUUUACAAGUACAAGGAGCAGAGUGAAAUCCUGACCUGGUUGAGCCUACUUGACAUGAUCAUGUAUGUUAAACUAGAGGAUCGCUUGGCUAUCUAGAGCUCAAGGAGACUUAAUAUAAUGGAACUACUGUACACAGUAUGUGUUGGUACAGAGGUGUUGAGGAUAUAGAGGUGUUGAGGAUGUUGAGGUGUUGAGGAUAUAGAGGUGUUGAGGAUGUGGAGGUGUUGAGGAUGUAGAGGUGUUGAGGAUGUAGAGAUGUUGAGGUUUUAGAGAUGUUGAGGAUUUAGAGAUGUUGAGGUGUUGAGGAUGUCGAUGUGUUGAGGAUUUAGAGAUGUUGAGGUGUUGAGGAUAUAGAGGUGUUGAAGAUUUAGAGAUGUUGAGGUGUUGAGGAUGUAGAGGUGUUGAGGAUAUAGAGGUGUUGAGGAUAUAAAGGUGUUGAGGAUGUAGAGGUGUUGAGGAUAUAAAGGUGUUGAGGAUAUAGAGGUGUUGGGGAUAUAGAUGUGUUGAGGAUAUAGAGGUGUUGAGGAAAUAGAGGUGUUGAGGAUAUAGAGGUGUUGAGGAUAUAAAGGUGUUGAGGAUAUAGAGGUGUUGAGGAUAUAGAGGUGUUGAGGAUAUAGAGGUGUUGAGGAUAUAGAGGUGUUGAGGAUAUAGAGGUGUUGAGGAUAUAGAGGUGUUGAGGAUAUAGAGGUGUUGAGGAUAUAGAGGUGUUGAGGAUAUAGAGGUGUUGAGGAUAUAGAGGUGUUAAGGUGUUGAGGAUGUAGAGGUGUUAAGGUGUUGAGGAUGUAGAGGUGUUGAGGAUGUAGAGGUGUUGAGGAUGUAGAGGUGUUGAGGAUGUAGAGGUGUUGAGGAUGUAGAGGUGUUGAGGAUGUAGAGGUGUUGAGGAUGUAGAGGUGUUGAGGAUGUAGAGGUGUUGAGGAUAUAGAGGUGUUGAGGAUGUAGAGGUGUUAAGGUGUUGAGGAUGUAGAGGUGUUAAGGUGUUGAGGAUGUAGAGGUGUUGAGGAUGUAGAGGUGUUGAGGAUAUAAAGGUGUUAAGGUGUUGAGGAUGUAGAGGUGUUAAGGUGUUGAGGAUGUAGAGGUGUUGAGGAUGUAGAGGUGUUGAGGAUAUAAAGGUGUUAAGGUGUUGAGGAUGUAGAGGUGUUAAGGUGUUGAGGAUGUAGAUGUGUUGAGGUGUUGAGGAUAUAGUACUGAAAAUGUCAGGCAUGACUAAACCUAUGAGACAAAUCCUUGUGGCAUUGGGGUUUCACAUGCACACAGCAUAUCUGCAGGAUGUAUUUGAGAGAAGAUUUGCAUAAAGCAUGUCACUCAAACCAUGACUGAAGUAAUAUGUCACGCCGCAUACAGGCAUGUUGAUAUGGUAAUUCUGCAGUAUAUCAUAUUACUGCACGGUAUCAUGAUUAAGGUCCAAGAAACAAAAGAAAAAGAUAUUGCAUUGAAGAAUGACAUUACAAUUAGUUGUUCCAAACAUUUCUCCUUUUAAGCAUCCAUCUGAUCAGAUAAUGAUGCGGUACUUACCCGUUCUAGUGCAGCAUCAUUGUCUAAUGCAACACUGUAGCAAAAAAAAGAGGAAAUUCAGCUCUCUUAUUUUUACCAGAUUAUAAUCAUGACUAGCAUCUUAUUGUGUUAUAACCGACAUGUUCACUUCCUCAAAUGACUAUAAAGACAUAUAACUAUCCUAAUAGGAUGGUGUGAAGGGAAUUCAGCUACUUCUUCUCACCUCACACUGUCCCUAGUGUGACCCUGCACAUUGAUCUGGUACUGCUACUUCCUCUAUAUAGCUCAACAUUCAUCUGGUACUGGCACUCCCUGUAUACAGCUCCACAUUGAUCUGGUACUGCUACUCCCUGUAUAUACAGUUGAAGUCGGAAGUUUACAUACGCUUAGGUUGGAGUGAUUAAAACUCAUUUUUCAACCACUCCACACGUUUCUUGUUAACAAACUAUAGUUUUGGCUAUUGGUUAGGACAUCUACUUUGUGCAUGACUCAAGUAAUUUUUCCAACAAUUGUUUACAGACAGAUUAUUUCACUUAUAAUUCACUGUAUCACAAUUCCAGUGGGUCAGAAGUUUACAUACACUAAAUUGACUGUGCCUUUAAAAAGCUUGGGAAAUUCCAGAAAAUGAUGUCAUGGCUUUAGAA
rnacentral:lncRNA from 1 species